rnacentral:rRNA from 1 species
UACGAGGGGGGCGAGCGUUGUUCGGAAUUAUUGGGCGUAAAGGGUGCGUAGGCGGUUUGGUAAGUCUUAUGUGAAAUCUACAGGCUCAACUUGUAGUCUGCAUGAGAAACUGCCGGGCUUGAGUGUGGGAGAGGUGAGUGGAAUUCCUGGUGUAGCGGUGAAAUGCGUAGAUAUCAGGAGGAACACCUGUGGCGAAAGCGGCUCACUGGACCAUAACUGACGCUGAUGCACGAAAGCUAGGGGAGCAAACAGG